rnacentral:rRNA from 1 species
CCUACGGGAGGCAGCAGUAGGGAAUCUUCCACAAUGGGCGAAAGCCUGAUGGAGCAACGCCGCGUGGGUGAAGAAGGUCUUCGGAUCGUAAAACCCUGUUGUUAGAGAAGAAAGUGCGUGAGAGUAACUGUUCACGUUUCGACGGUAUCUAACCAGACAGCCACGGCUAACUACGUGCCAGCAGCCGCGGUAAUACGUAGGUGGCAAGCGUUAUCCGGAUUUAUUGGGCGUAAAGGGAACGCAGGCGGUCUUUUACGUCUGAUGUGAAAGCCUUCGGCUUAACCGGAGUAGUGCAUUGGAAACUGGGAGACUUGAGUGCAGAAGAGGAGAGUGGAACUCCAUGUGUAGCGGUGAAAUGCGUAGAUAUAUGGAAGAACACCAGUGGCGAAAGCGGCUCUCUGGGCUGUAACUGACGCUGAGGUUCGAAAGCGUGGGUAGCAAACAGGAUUAGAUACCCGGGUAGUC